UGACCAGUCCGUAGUUGGAGCCGUGUACUUGGGCCAAUAGUACGACAUCGUUGAGUACACCGUGCGCUUCUUAACGUCAGUCUCGUCGUGGUGCUCCAUCUUCGCACGUCUUGUAACGUCACGUCGAAAGGUCGGCGCGUAUCGAGCAGACAAUCUGCGCGGGUCGAUUGUCAAAUCGCGUAAGGAUUACGAUCGUUCCGAUUACGCGCGUUCCCUGUAAAACGGGACAAUCUCACUCGCGUCGAGGUACUCGUGGUGAACGCGUUUAAAGGCCGCGCGAAAGCUGCAACUCUUCUUCGGCACUCGGAUCCCGCAGCGGAACUCGCGUAGAAAGAGCAGCAGCAGCAACGCCACAGCUCCAAGCGCCUUCGAGGCGAUUCUUCGCCGAGAGGGCAACUACCUAGACGAAAAUCAUCGUCCUCGACCAGCACGACGAUCAACUAGGUCGUGUCGGGUGAGGAACGACAUCGCGAACGAGACAGGACGACGAGAGGUCACGCCAUGCCGGCAGGUAUUGGCGCUUCGUACAGGUCGUUAGGCGACCUGGGCGAAGAUGUUUACAAAAGCACAACCAUCGUCGAUCAGACACAGACUACUGGCCAGAGCAUGCUCGAGUCUGUCAAGAAGGCUUUUAGCUUCGCCUCUCCAAAGGUUGAGAUCCGGAAGAAGGACCCGUUGAUCGAGGACCGUCGCGAAAGCAUCUCGAUUGUCUCAAGGGAGAGAAACAAGAUGCCGACAGCAGCCACUGCCGAGGAAUCUGCUCUAUUGGGCACGAUGCCUUCCGAUAGCAUGGAUGAUAUUGAGCUGAAGAACAUUCAAUUGCAAUUUCCGGCAUUGAGAUAUCUCUCUAGAGAUGACGGCUCUGUGCGGGAAGAAAGGGUGGAGACCGACAAAGGAAGUUUGCUGAUAGCGGUGCAAGGAAAUCGAGCAAAACCAGCUAUCCUCACUUAUCACGAUCUAGGCCUUAACUACAUUUCGAGCUUCCAGGCAUUCUUCAAUUACAUCGAUAUGCGUGUUUUACUCGAAAACUUUUGCGUAUAUCACGUGAACGCACCCGGACAAGAGGAAGGCGCGCCGACGCUACCCGAAGAUUACACUUAUCCGUCCAUGGAAGAGCUUGCCGAACAGCUGCUCUUCAUUCUCGGCCAUUUUGGCAUAAAAUCCGUAAUUGGUUUCGGGGUCGGUGCCGGCGCCAAUAUUCUGGCAAGAUUUGCACUCGCCCAUCCGGAGAAAGUAAAUGCACUGUGCCUGAUAAACUGCGUAUCCACACAGGCAGGAUGGAUCGAAUGGGGUUAUCAAAAAUUGAACGUGCGCCACUUGAGAUCGCAGGGCAUGACGCAAGGUGUUCUCGAUUAUCUGAUGUGGCAUCAUUUCGGCAGGGGGACCGAAGAGCGGAAUCAUGAUUUGGUUCAAGUGUAUAAGAACUACUUUGAGCGUCGCGUGAACCCAACGAAUCUCGCAUUAUUUAUCGACAGUUACGUUCGUCGCACGGAUCUGAAUAUAACGAGAGAGUUAGAUCCAACGCGCAAGAAGGAGGGAUUGACGCUUAGUGUACCGGUGAUGAAUAUCACGGGUGCUCUAAGCCCUCACGUCGACGACACCGUAACGUUAAAUGGGCGUUUGGAUCCAACAAAUAGCUCCUGGAUGAAGAUAUCAGAUUGCGGUAUGGUACUGGAAGAACAGCCGGGUAAAGUCAGCGAGGCAUUCCGACUGUUUCUUCAGGGCGAAGGAUAUGUGGUGAGAUCCCCGCGGAAGCCCGUGAAGCCGACAACACCCGAAGGUAAUUGUAAUUAGGAAUUGAAGGCCGCAAGGAGAGUCGAGCGCGCAGUUGGUCAAUUAGGCCACGUCUAUAUGUUAAUGGCCCCGCUGUCGCCGUUAAAAAUGGCCGAUUACCGACUGGCUUCGUUAGAAGGAUUGAAUCACAUUUGCAGCAAGAAGAUCGACUGGCCUACCGCGACCAUACACAUCACGGAGAAUCCGAUAUCGGAGGCAGUCGUCUGUUAAAUGUUAAUCGCUGAAUUUCAUCAUUAUCAUGAUUUUCGUUACGUAAAUAAUCAGAGGAUAAUGCAACUCGAUUGAUAUCGACAACUUAGAAAGGUUUCGUCGGGCAACGAUCCUUCGCGGUACUAAUCGUUGAUUUCUUUUUUCGGAGCUUACGUCGGCACGACAUUUAUUUUAAUCGCGAUUUGCGCUAGAUCGAUCAUACGCAUUCGUAAUAAAUGUUUAAUUCUAAAUAAUUAUAAGUUAAAAGCUUUAACAAAGGGAUUUACUAUAUUUAAGAGACAUUCAGAUGUUUUAUCAAUAUUAUAUUUGUGCGAUGUUGCUAAGAGUAUCGAUUUAUUAAGGAUAAAUAAGAAAAUAAUGUUAUUUCGAGGUUGUACGAUUAGACAUACGUUGAAUUUUAUUAUUUUUUUUUUUUUAAUUUAAUGAACGCUGCAGAGCAACUUCUUACAGCAUCGUUCACUUUUUGUCAUGUAAAAUUAUGUUUUGUAAUUGUUUUAACGGAUUCAUAAUUAAUUGUUUAUUUCAAUGUUUUUUUAAAGAGAAAUUAAACGGAUCAACUACAUCAAAAGUUAACAAUCCUAAUACAUUUCGAGAAUCAUGAAUCUGACAUUGCGUAUAACAUACUUUAAGCAUUUUUAAAUAUAAAAUUAAUAAUUAAUUUGUAAGUUUAAGUAAAAAUUUGUCCUGUAAAAUUAAAAUUUUUAUUUUCAUAAAUUUUUGUGUCAAAUUCAUGAAUCUCGAGAUGUAUUAGAUUUAUUAAUUUUUGACGUAACUGAUCCGUCCAGUUUCUUCCUCAAAUGACGAGAAGAUAUUUUUAAAAGUUUUAAAGAACAUUUUUUCCUUCUUCUCUAUAAAUAUUUUAAUAUUUUAAUACUAUUGCCCAAAUUUUAAAAAUUGUUCAACAUUUCGAAAUAUAUUUCUAUAUACAUGAGUAUACGUUAACACAAACAGAAUCGCGAUUACAACUUUCCAAAAACGUAAAUUGAAUACAUAACUAAAUACAGCGACAAAAAGUUUAUUAGAAGCAUUAAAAAAUGAGAUCUUUUUCUUGAUCUAAGAUGCGAAAAAAAACUCGCAUAUAAGCAUUAUAAUUUUGAAGAAAACGAUUUACUACGUAAAUUCUGAAUAAAUAUCGAAAAAGUAUUAAAAAACGUCACAAAAUAUCGAACAUGUGUGACAGCAAGACAUUAUAGAGAAAUGUGCACUUUCGCUUUUCAUGUUUAUGACAAGAGAAAAUCAUAUUAAGUGUAACAAACUGGCAGCAACUUUUUUUAACAAGUUGCGGAUAGCUUCUUAAUGAAAUAACGUCGAAUAAAUUCCGUCUAUACCUGCUGCGCAGUAUGUAAUGUUACAGAAUAUCCGCAUAUUGCGGAUUAAAUUAAUAGAAAUACAAAUCUACUCUGCAUAUAUUAAAAGCCAAUUCGCGAAACAUAGUCUUGUUUGCUUAUAAUAUGUAAAAGUAAAGAUAAAACUACUUUUUGUUAUAUUUUGAGAAAAACAUUUAAGUAGCUUAUACGCUUUUUCUACUCAAUAUGAUUCGUAAUCAUAAAGAAUCAACCAAUCUUGAAAUUUAUAAUUACAAUAUUAUUUCGUUAUUUUAUACACAAAUAAAUUUAAUCACGAUUAUUUAAAAUUUUGAAAUAUAACAAGGAUCUCUCUCUCUCAAAUGGAUAAUAAAUAUACAGAAUCAAUAUAAUCGAUUAUGGGAUUGGUAUUACAAGACAGGUCAGAUAUUCUCGAUAAAAUUGCUUAUAUGUUCUCCCUUUUCUGAAUUUAAUAUAUACAAUAUACAGAAAUCGAUGGAGUUUAAAUUAAAAAGUCGACUUUCAGCAAUCUUUCAAUAAAAUAUGGCAGCUUUGUCAUAUGAGAUUCAAUUUCUCUACUGCGGAUAUUAUCUUUAAAAAAAAUAUACAUAUACAUGUAUAUCAGAUAAAUUUACACAAUCCCUGUCUUCUUAAACUGGAUGAGAUAUUGUUCUUUUAUUUGCGUUUACGCACCGUUUGCAUUUUUUUUUUUAUAAUAAAAAAAGAGACUGCCUAUAUGAGGAAGAGAGAACGCAUAUGUAUGAAUGCAUAUAUUUAAAAGUGGCGUAAAAAGAGAGGGAAAUACGUAAUUAAUUGUAAUAAGAAGUAAGAAAGCGUCAAGCUCGGUAUCUUUAUCGAGCUUACUUAAGCCUGUAGCGUGAUAUAUUAAGACGUGCCUGCUAUAAGAUGCCGUACGCAAUUUUCGAAAAUUUGAUCGUAUUUAAUUUUCUAUAUAUAUGAUUCUAACGCAUCUCCCAAAAUUCUCUACUUUUCGCGCGUCUUUUCUCAAAGCAUCGCGUUCACGAUGCGAAAAUCGGCAUCAUCAGAUCUUUUUUUAACUCAACUCUUUAAUGAUUAAUUUAAUUAAGAAUAAUCAACAAACUCUAUCAAGUAUAUUUUUAAUCGAGAAAGGAAAAUAAAUAAUCAGAAAUUUGAUGAUAAAAUAAUGUUAAAUUAAAUCUGUUUUUAUAUACAACAUUACGUCAAACAGAUUCUCUAUGAAACAGCGAGUUACAAAUCCUUUUUCUUAUUUUGCGGCAAGUAAUAUAUAAUACGAUAAAAAAAAAUGCGCGAGAACGACGAAGGAAGUCAAAUCAGCGAACAUCUCGAGGGGCAGAAGAUCUAAUCGUUUCAUAUAAAAGAGAAUUUAUAAAAAUAUAUAAUAGGAAUUAUAUAUAUCUACACACACAUACACACACGUCGCGUUAUUUAGAUUGCAAAUUGAGGCAAUGAUAGUCGAGAGCAUAGGAUUAGAAUUGCGGAGCUCGAUAUAAGAUAAUUGAGGGAACGCACGCAUUAAACGUUGCUAAUGCGGUUGCUAUAUGGAUAUAUAAUGUAGCUUUAAAGAACACUCCGCCGUUAAUCCCUUCAUUUCCACAUAGAGAAAUUUCCCUACGGACACGUGGCACGAAUUAUCUCGAUGCUCAAGACAACGAAUUUGUUGAAUCUCUGUACAUCGACUGUAUUGUUGAAUUUAAUUAGACAUAUCGGCCGAGUCCGCAAUAAGCAAUAUCAUCAAAUUGUUCGUCAACUGAUCGACCCUAAUUUACGAUUUUAAUCCUCGUAUUUGUCGAAAUUACUCGUGAGACACGCGCAUAUCAAUACGGUAAAUUUUUAAACAAUUUUUUAACGACGAAAAGAUCUAUUCGGAUUUGUAUCUGCAUUUUAAUUGGCGCAUCAACGACAAAAAAAAAUAUCCAGCAUGAUCGAGAGAGCAGAUAGAUUUUCAACAUCCAUUUCUACCUCGCGCGAAGGUAACACGGUUUUCCUUCGCCGCAUAACGCGCAAAGUUCAUUCUCGAAUGAAAUUUCUAAUUUUCCACGCGGUAUCGCGCAACAGAUUGUAGCGAGGUGUAUUAAUCUCACUCAGCAUAAAUAAGACAUAAUACAGUAAGCGAAAUAAAAUUAGUUCUGGAGCUUGAUUAACAUAUAAAUAUAUAUAAAUAUAUUAUACAAAAGUUAAAUGAGACACGUGCGCACCGAAUAUGCAUCUUGUUAUUUAUAAUAAACGAAAAGAAAAAAUAAUAAAAUUGUUUAACAAC